rnacentral:rRNA from 1 species
UUCCUGUACCACCUAGUAUCGUUUUAAUCGAUGGGGGGACGCAGUAGGAUAGGCGAAGCGUGCUGUUGGAGUGCACGUCCAAGCAGUAAGGCUGAGUGUUAGGCAAAUCCGGCACUCAUAAGGCUGAGCUGUGAUGGGGAGAGGAAAUUGUUUCCUCGAGUCGUUGAUUUCACACUGCCGAGAAAAGCCUCUAGAUAGAUAACAGGUGCCCGUACCGCAAACCGACACAGGUAGUCAAGAUGAGAAUUCUAAGGUGAGCGAGCGAACUCUCGUUAAGGAACUCGGCAAAAUGACCCCGUAACUUCGGGAGAAGGGGUGCUCUUUAGGGUUCACGCCCAGAAGAGCCGCAGUGAAUAGGCCCAAGCGACUGUUUAUCAAAAACACAGGUCUCUGCUAAAC